ACGGGUGAGUAACGCGUGGGUAACCUGCCUUAUACAGGGGGAUAACAGUCAGAAAUGGCUGCUAAUACCGCAUAAGCGCACAGAGCUGCAUGGCCCAGUGUGAAAACUCCGGUGGUAUAAGAUGGACCCGCGUUGGAUUAGCUGGUUGGUGGGGUAACGGCCCACCAAGGCGACGAUCCAUAGCCGGCCUGAGAGGGUGAACGGCCACAUUGGGACUGAGACACGGCCCAGACUCCUACGGGAGGCAGCAUG
rnacentral:rRNA from 1 species